rnacentral:lncRNA from 1 species
UCCAUUACAACAGGUUUUCCUCCUUUCUCUUCCACUGGAACAGUUCUCUUUGCAUGACAACAACUUUCUAAUAAGACUGAGAAAGUACCAAACUUCAGAUGUAGUAACUUUCUAUGACAGAAGUGAGUGAUAUCAUCAGCCUAAUGUGGCUGAGGCAUGUCUUUUCCUAGUAGAAUGUGCAUUACCUGAGGGAAAAAAGAAAAGAAAACUAAAUAUUGUGAGACUGACAAGGGACUGUUUUAAUGACUCACAAUUGUCUUCACAUGAUGCCUGCUUUAUCUGGUCUUCAUUUAGAGAACAAAUUCAUGGGAAACUAAAAUCUGGGUUUGACUGAACAUAAGAUUAUUAACUCACAGAGGGCAACGGCUCUGUCCUUUAAUUACUUUUCAUGGUAAGUAGUAUAAUAUGAUGGUGACAUGUUGAUUACUAAC